rnacentral:lncRNA from 1 species
UCGGUUAAAAAAAAGUUAUAUUAAAUGAUAAUUAAAUUCUAAAACUGUUUGUGAUUCAUUCAAAUCAUCACCAAUAAUCUCUGCAAGAACACUUGCUACUCUGGAAGUGAUGAAAUCGACUGUUAUCCCGGACAAUAAUUUCCCUGCCAACAAUGCCUGAGAUAAAUUUAAAGGCGGUGUGACAAUCACCGCAGAUCCUAAGGUUUUUGGUGAUUCUUAUAGGCACUCCAGGAGGGAUAGCUAUAAGGCCAAAAGCAAGGGCUAUUUUCUCACUGUGGUACCAAACUUCUGUCAUUUUCUCUUCUUCUUCUAAAUCAUAAAGUGCAUAAUUUGUAUCUGGUACGUAGCCAGCUGCCUUCAUUUCCAUUCUUAACUUAACUAGCAUUGCCUGUAUUUCGUAGUUCAUUGCAUGGGAUGUAUCCUUUGCUUGGAAUACGUGAACUCUAUUCUUUGCAGUCAGCCAACUGCAACCUGCACCCUUCUUGAUUCCAACAUCCAUCAUUUCUUUUCUCACUAGGGUGGCCUCCUCCCAUCUAAAUUAAGUUUCCAGAAAAUUGGUUAGGAAGUGGAGAUGAAAAGACAACAAAAAACGGAAAUUUGAAAAAUCAAAGAGUGAAAGAGAGAUGUUGAAAGCAGCAACUCGUAAAUUUUGUGGGAAAGUAAUGGUUUUCACACAAAAUAUCAUCCAGGGACAUGUUAGAUUUGUGCUGAGAUAUGAAUAAGAACUCAUUGUAUUCAACUUUCGUGUUAGCAAGUUCUAAAGGCACUGAAAUAGUGCAGAAACACAAUAGUGGGAGUUCUAUCUAGCUACCGAUUCUGGCAUAUGGCUGCUAAAUUCAACAUAUCUAUCUAUUAAAUUUCAAGAACUGAAUUCUACUAUCAUCAAUUCAACAUUUAAUUAAUUCAUCAAAGAUUAGGGUAAACCUUGAGAGUUUGAACAAAGGAAUCGAAAUUGGAAACGGAGAAGCAGAUAUGAUGGCCUCUGGGGAGAUGGCUAGGAUCAAGAACCGGUGAAGUGGCGCUGUACGGGCCUUCCGGAAGCUUCGUGAUAGAGCUUCUCUCUAUUAGGUGGAGAGAGAAUGCUUGAGGGAGAUUAAGCCAUAUAACUUUGAAUUCUCCGAAAUCUGGACUCUCAAUCUCCUCAAACCCAAAGAUCUUUGAACACCAACAAAUUGCACAAAUCAGUUGCCAGAGCACAGAUAGUAACUACUAUAAAGAAAUGAAAGAUGGAGAUUGCUUAGACCUCUUUGUAGAAGUUAGCAAGGCGCCUAAUAUCCGAUGAUUCUCUCGAGAUAUGGUUGAGAGAAGCUUCUCUCGCUACAGCCAUUUUUCAAGCCCUUCCAGUUCAGUUAGUGCUUUACCCACCUUAUUUCGCGUGUAGACUGUGGAAGAAACCGACCUUGUUUCGUGGAUGCGUAGCCAAGCGGUACUUUUUCUCUUAAUAAUAAUAACAAAUAAAUUUCUGUAGGAUUCUUUUUUUUUUUUUUAAGUUUUUUUCAUAAUUAACAUUAUUUUUUUAAGUCCGAUGCUAUUUUAUUCUUUAUGAGAAAACAUAGAUUAAAAUCCAAAAAAUCCAACCUUAUCGAUGUAAUUUGAUCUUUUAGUUCUAUUAUUCGAGUUGAUUGAUUCAGUUUAAUUUAUAAUUUUAACUAACUUUGGUUUUUCUUUUUAAUUUUUUAAUUUAAUUCAAGUCAAAAUGUCCCCAAUUCCGAUUCGGUUAAAAAAAAGUUAUAUUAAAUGAUAAUUAAAUUCUAAAACUGUUUGUGAUUCAUUCAAAUCAUCACCAAUAAUCUCUGCAAGAACACUUGCUACUCUGGAAGUGAUGAAAUCGACUGUUAUCCCGGACAAUAAUUUCCCUGCCAACAAUGCCUGAGAUAAAUUUAAAGGCGGUGUGACAAUCACCGCAGAUCCUAAGGUUUUUGGUGAUUCUUAUAGGCACUCCAGGAGGGAUAGCUAUAAGGCCAAAAGCAAGGGCUAUUUUCUCACUGUGGUACCAAACUUCUGUCAUUUUCUCUUCUUCUUCUAAAUCAUAAAGUGCAUAAUUUGUAUCUGGUACGUAGCCA